UCACCGCAUCGGAUCGUAUAUUUCCCGGUUUAGCCUAUUACGAUCGAAAAAAAGAAUUUUAUGAUAUAGGAAAUCAGAUACAAGCCAAUUUGCCACUUCAAAUAGCAUUAUAUUUAAUGUAGGGAGAUUUUCCAUUGUGGUUUAUUAUAAUAAUUGUUAACUUGGAUGCAAAGUAUUAUUACUUGACAGAUGUAUACAAAGUUAUAACUAUAGCAGUAUUUAUUGUUAUAUCAACAUUGGAAAGUUUACGAUUAUACUUGGGAUAUCUUGGAA